rnacentral:rRNA from 1 species
UUUGAAAUCUGGUCCUUCGGGCCCGAGUUGUAAUUUGCAGAGGAUGCUUUCGGUGAGGCGCUGAUCGAGUCCCCUGGAAUGGGGCGCCAUAGAGGGUGAGAGCCCCGUAUGAUCGGAUGCCGAACCGGUGUAAAGCUCCUUCGACGAGUCGAGUAGUUUGGGAAUGCUGCUCUAAACGGGAGGUAAAUUUCUUCUAAAGCUAAAUACCGGCCAGAGACCGAUAGCGCACAAGUAGAGUGAUCGAAAGAUGAAAAGCACUUUGAAAAGAGGGUUAAACAGCACGUGAAAUUGUUGAAAGGGAAGCGCCUAUGACCAGACUCGGCCGCGGGGGAUCAUCCGUCGUUCUCGGCGGUGCACUUCCCCGCUGCCGGGCCAGCAUCGGUUCUCCUCGGGGGAUAAAGGCGCCCGGAACGUGGCUCCCUUCGGGGAGUGUUAUAGCCGGGCGUGCAAUGCUCCGGGGGGGACCGAGGACCGCGCUUCGGCAUGGAUGCUGGCGUAAUGGUCACCGGCGACCCGUCUUGAAACACGGACCAAGGAGUCAAGCAUUAGGGCGAGUGUACGGGUGUAAAACCCGAACGCGCAGUGAAAGCGAACGCUGGUGAGAGCUUCGGCGCAUCACCGACCGAUCCUGAAGUCUUCGGAUGGAUUUGAGUAGGAGCCUUAACGCUUGGACCCGAAAGAUGGUGAACUAUGCCUGAAUAGGGUGAAGCCAGAGGAAACUCUGGUGGAGGCUCGCAGCGGUUCUGACGUGCAAAUCGAUCGUCAAAUUUGGGCAUAGGGGCGAAAGACUAAUCGAACCAUCUAGUAGCUGGUUACCGCCGAAGUUUCCCUCAGGAUA